ACCAGGAUGAUGAGUAACUUGCAAACUCAAGCAAGGGUCUGCUUCCCUUUUAUUGUUUUUGCCUCUGGCUUCUAUUGCCUUUUAUUGCCUCUACUCAUGGCAGUAGAAGCUGUGAGCGUGGUAAGGAAAAAAGAGACAGCUAAAGCUGACUUGGCACUGAAUCCUGUCACACAGCAUUGCAGGUCAGUGAGAACACAAGCAGAAUUUGACUUGACCUUCUAAAACUCUUCACUGUAAUCUUGGUCACUCUCUUAAUUGAAUUAUGGAUCUCAGGAAGCUUUGUUGAAUGAAAAGGAAAGCUGCAAAAACCUUUGAAGUGGCUCAGUAUUCACAAAAUCCUCCUUGAGAAUGCCUGUAAAUGCCUCCAAAGAAGCCUUUCUGAAUUGCAUAGUUAUAAUAAAAACUAUUAUUUCCUCUUC